UUGGAGGGCAAGUCUGGUGCCAGCAGCCGCGGUAAUUCCAGCUCCAAUAGCGUAUAUUAAAGUUGUUGAGGUUAAAAAGCUCGUAGUUGAACCUUGGGCCUAGCCGGCCGGUCCGCCUCACCGCGUGCACUGGCUCGGCUGGGCCUUUCCUUCUGGAGAACCGCAUGCCCUUCACUGGGUGUGCCGGGGAACCAGGACUUUUACNCUGAAUAAAUUAGAUCGCUUAAAGAAGGCCUAUGCUCGAAUACAUUAGCAUGGAAUAAUAGAAUAGG
rnacentral:rRNA from 1 species